AUGCCGGAGGCCAGGGGGGCUAAGUGGCUGGUCCCCCCAGAGCUGGACCUGCAGGACCUGUGCGCAGAGGAGGACGAACGCGAGGAGCUAGAGGGGCUCUGGACCAGUGCGUGCGUCUUCACCGCCCUCUUCCUGCUCAGUGUGAGCUACAGUGCCACCGUCACCCUGGUCAAGGUGGAGUGGGUCUUCUCCGCGGUGCGGCAGGGCCAGCCCCAGGCCACCCACGACUACACCAACGUCAUGCAGUCUGAGCCACGCCGCACCUGAGCCACGCAGGCCACCGCGCCACCCUGGCGGGACGAGGGACAGAUACACCCCCAAGGAGGCCAGAGUUGGGGACACACCGACCCCACCAUGGGCUGAUGACAAGUGCACCAGGGUCCAGAGGUUCCAGCUUGGCCUCAAGGUUCCAGGCACCAAAGGGGCUGUCAGCCGCAGCCCGCCCCACCCCAGCCGGGCAGCAGAGGGCCAGGCUGCAACGCUGCCCGAGCCCGUCCCAGGCCAUGGACACCAGAGCCACUGCUGUUCUGCCAGACCACCCAGAGCACUGUGGCCGGUGACCUGGUCAGGCCCAGGCGCCCCACAGCCCGUCUUCCUGCACCUCCACUGUCAGUCCCCAGCCUGCCCUAUACAGAGGGUGCAGAGAAGCCCUUCUGGGGCAAAGCCAAAGCUGUUCCACAGCCAGAGACAGGCUGAGACUGCCCACCCGGCCCCUCACUCUGGCUUAAGCCACCC